rnacentral:rRNA from 1 species
GAUCCUGGCUCAGGAUGAACGCUAGCGACAGGCUAACACAUGCAAGUCGAGGGGCAGCAUAAAAGUAGCAAUACUUGGUCGGCGACCGGCGCACGGGUGAGUAACGCGUAUGCAACCUACCUAUCAGAGGGGAAUAACCCGGCGAAAGUCGGACUAAUACCGCAUAAAACAGGGGCACCGCAUGGUGAUAUUUGUUAAAGAAAUUCGCUGAUAGAUGGGCAUGCGUUCCAUUAGGUAGUUGGUGAGGUAACGGCUCACCAAGCCGACGAUGGAUAGGGGAACUGAGAGGUUGGUCCCCCACACUGGUACUGAGACACGGACCAGACUCCUACGGGAGGCAGCAGUGAGGAAUAUUGGUCAAUGGGCGGGAGCCUGAACCAGCCAAGUCGCGUGAAGGAAGAAGGAUCUAUGGUUCGUAAACUUCUUUUGCAGGGGAAUAAAGUGCAGGACGUGUCCUGUUUUGUAUGUACCCUGAGAAUAAGGAUCGGCUAACUCCGUGCCAGCCGCCGC